rnacentral:ncRNA from 1 species
CCAUAGGUUUUUAUCAAAACCACCAUAUUAAAACAUCUUAUUUUUU